rnacentral:rRNA from 1 species
UGGGGAAUCUUGGACAAUGGGCGAAAGCCUGAUCCAGCCAUGCCGCGUGGAUGAUGAAGGCCCUAGGGUUGUAAAAUCCUUUCGUUGGGGACGAUAAUGACGGUACCCAAAGAAUAAGCUCCGGCUAACUUCGUGCCAGCAGCCGCGGUAAU